GUGGGGAAUAUUGCACAAUGGGCGAAAGCCUGAUGCAGCGACGCCGCGUGAAGGAGGAAGUAUUUCGGUAUGUAAACUUCUAUCAGCAGGGAAGAAAAUGACGGUACCUGACUAAGAAGCUCCGGCUAAAUACGUGCCAGCAGCCGCGGUAAUACGUAUGGAGCAAGCGUUAUCCGGAUUUACUGGGUGUAAAGGGAGCGCAGGCGGCACGGCAAGCCAGAUGUGAAAGCCCAGGGCUCAACCCUGGGACUGCAUUUGGAACUGUCGAGCUAGAGUGCAGGAGAGGCAGGCGGAAUUCCUAGUGUAGCGGUGAAAUGCGUAGAUAUUAGGAGGAACACCAGUGGCGAAGGCGGCUUACUGGACUGUAACUGACGUUGAGGCUCGAAAGCGUGGGGAGCAAACAGGA
rnacentral:rRNA from 1 species